UAGGGAAUCUUCCGCAAUGGACGAAAGUCUGACGGAGCAACGCCGCGUGAGUGAUGAAGGUUUUCGGAUCGUAAAACUCUGUUGUUAGGGAAGAACAAGUAUCGUUCGAAUAGGGCGGUACCUUGACGGUACCUAACCAGAAAGCCACGGCUAACUACGUGCCAGCAGCCGCGGUAAUACGUAGGUGGCAAGCGUUGUCCGGAAUUAUUGGGCGUAAAGCGCGCGCAGGCGGUUUCUUAAGUCUGAUGUGAAAUCUUGCGGCUCAACCGCAAGCGGCCAUUGGAAACUGGGAGACUUGAGUGCAGAGGAGGAGAGUGGAAUUCCACGUGUAGCGGUGAAAUGCGUAGAGAUGUGGAGGAACACCAGUGGCGAAGGCGACUCUCUGGUCUGUAACUGACGCUGAGGCGCGAAAGCGUGGGGAGCGAACAGG
rnacentral:rRNA from 1 species